AAGUCGUAACAAGGUUUCCGUAGGUGAACCUGCGGAAGGAUCAUUAAUGAAUUAAUCGACAAGAUUGUCGCUGGCCUUCACUGGCAUGUGCACGUCUUGCUCAAUUCAUCCACUAUACCUCUGUGCACUUUUCAUAGGUUGGCUUAUAUAAAGAACUGUUCGCAUGAAUGGUUUGGGCCUUUCUAUGCUUUAUACAAACAUCUUUGUUAUAGAAUGUUACUUGCGAUAUAACGCAUUAUAUACAACUUUCAGCAACGGAUCUCUUGGCUCUCGCAUCGAUGAAGAACGCAGCGAAAUGCGAUAAGUAAUGUGAAUUGCAGAAUUCAGUGAAUCAUCGAAUCUUUGAACGCACCUUGCGCUCCUUGGUAUUCCGAGGAGCAUGCCUGUUUGAGUGUCAUGUUCUCCUCAACCCCCUUGGAUUUUUUAUUCGAGUGUGGGUUGGACUUGGAGGCUGCUGGAUUUUACUAUUCAGCUCCUCUUAAAUGUAUUAGUGUGAAUGUUACUGAACGUUCUCCAGUGUGAUAAUUAUCUGCGCUGUUGGACUUUGGUAGUUUAUAAGUUCACGCUUCUAACCGUCCUAACGGACAAUACACUUUACGUUUGACCUCAAAUCAGGUAGGACUACCCGCUGAACUUAA
rnacentral:rRNA from 1 species